rnacentral:rRNA from 1 species
UACCAUGAGAGUCGAACGCUGAAGCUCCAGCUUGCUGGGGUGGAUGAGUGGCNAACGGGUGAGUAAUACGUGAGUAACCUGCCCUUGACUCUGGGAUAAGCCCGGGAAACUGGGUCUAAUACUGGAUGCUACAUGUCACCGCAUGGUGGUGUGUGGAAAGGGUUUUACUGGUCUUGGAUGGGCUCACGGCCUAUCAGCUUGUUGGUGAGGUAAUGGCUCACCAAGGCGACGACUGGUAGCCGGCCUGAAAGGGUGACCGGCCACACUGGGACUGAGACACANCCCAAACUCCUACAGGAGGNAGCAGUGGGGAAUAUUGCACAAUGGGCGGAAGCCUGAUGCACCGACGCCGCGUGAGGGAUGACCGCCUUCGGGUUGUAAACCUCUUUCAGCAAGGAAGAACCCACAAGUGACGGUCCCUGCAAAAGAACCGCCGGCUAACUACGCGCCAGCAUCCGCGGUAAUA